UUUCGGGUUAAUCUGUACGCUCACGUACAGGCUGCCGGGAAUACUGCAAAGCUAGGGAGUGGGAGAGGUAGACGGUACUCGGUAGGAAGGGGUAAAAUCCUUUGAUCUAUUGAUGACCACCUGUGGCGAAGGCGGUCUACCAGAACACGUCCGACGGUGAGGGAUGAAAGCUGGGGGAGCAAACCGGAUUAGAUACCCGGGUAGUCCCAGCUGUAAACCAUGCAAACUCAGUGAUGCAUUGGCUUGUGGCCAAUGCAGUGCUGCAGGGAAGCCGUUAAGUUUGCCGCCUGGGAAGUACGUACGCAAGUAUGAAACUUAAAGGAAUUGGCGAGGGAGCACCACAAGGGGUGAAGCCUGCGGUUCAAUUGGAGUCAACGCCAGAAAUCUUACCCGGAGAGACAGCAGAAUGAAGGUCAAGCUGAAGACUUUACCAGACAAGCUGAGAGGUGGUGCAUGGCCGUCGCCAGCUCGUGCCGUGAGAUGUCCUGUUAAGUCAGGUAACGAGCGAGAUCCCUGCCUCUAGUUGCCACCAUUACUCUCAGGAGUAGUGGGGCGAAUUAGCGGGACCGCCGCAGUUAAUGCGGAGGAAGGAANGGNCCANNNNAGGUNAGUAUGCCCCGAAACUCUGGGGCCCACCCCGGCUGCCAAUGGUAAUGACAAUUGCUUCCCAAUCCCAAGGGAGGAGCUACUCCCCCAACAUUACCCCAGUUAUGACGGAGGGCUCCCCCCCCCCCCCCCAAUAAUGGAAUCCCCAGUACACGCGUGGUAUUUUCGCGCGGUGAAAUCGUCCCUGCUCCUUGC
rnacentral:rRNA from 1 species